AUUGAACGCUGGCGGCAGGCUUAACACAUGCAAGUCGAGCGGUAGCACAGGGGAGCUUGCUCCCUGGGUGACGAGCGGCGGACGGGUGAGUAAUGUCUGGGAAACUGCCUGAUGGAGGGGGAUAACUACUGGAAACGGUAGCUAAUACCGCAUAACGUCGCAAGACCAAAGAGGGGGACCUUCGGGCCUCUUGCCAUCAGAUGUUCCCAGAUGGGAUUAGCUAGUAGGUGGGGUAAUGGCUCACCUAGGCGACGAUCCCUAGCUGGUCUGAGAGGAUGACCAGCCACACUGGAACUGAGACACGGUCCAGACUCCUACGGGAGGCAGCAGUGGGGAAUAUUGCACAAUGGGCGCAAGCCUGAUGCAGCAAUGCCGCGUGUGUGAAGAAGGCCUUCGGGUUGUAAAGCACUUUCAGCGAGGAGGAAGGUGGUGAGCUUAAUACGUUCAUCAAUUGACGUUACUCGCAGAAGAAGCACCGGCUAACUCCGUG
rnacentral:rRNA from 1 species